CGGAGCCGAAGCGAAAGCGAGUCUGAACAGGGCGUCAGAGUCGGGGGCGGUGGACGCGAAACCAAGUGAUCUACCCUUGGGCAGGCUGAAGGCGUGGUAACACACGCUGGAGGGCCGAACCGGUAAGCGUUGAAAAGCUUUCGGAUGACCUGAGGGUAGGAGUGAAAGGCCAAUCAAACUUGGAGAUAGCUCGUACUCCCCGAAAUGCAUUUAGGUGCAGCCUCGGGAUAAGUGCCGCGGAGGUAGAGCGACCGAUAGGGUGCGAGGGCUUCGCCGCCUAUCAAGCCCUGACGAACUCCGAAUGCCGCGGCAUGUUUCCCGGGAGUGAGGGCGCGGGUGCUAAGGUCCGCGUCCGAGAGAGGAACAACUCAGACCACCGGUUAAGGCCCCCAAAUGCGGGCUAAGUUGAAGACCAUAACGAGGUGGGGCCGCACGGACAGCUAGGAUGUUGGCUUGGAAGCAGCCAUUCAUUUAAAGAGUGCGUAACAGCUCACUAGUCGAGCGGCCCCGCGUGGAUAAUAAUCGGGCAUAAGCCCGCUGCCGAAACCGUGGAAUGCCCAAUUAGUGGGCAUUGGUAGGGGAGCAUUCCCGUGACGCCGAAGGCUCGGCGCGAGCCGAGCUGGAGUUCCGGGAAAAGCAAAUGUAGGUAUAAGUAACGACAAUGGGGGCGGGAAACCCCCACGCCGAAAGACCCAGGGUUCCUGAUCAACGCUAAUCGGAUCAGGGUAAGUCGGGACCUAAGGGGGAGCCGCAAGGCGCACCCGAUGGACAGCCGGUUAAUAUUCCGGCACCCGUCUUGCGAGCGAUGCGGCGACGGAGAAGUGACACACCCGCGCGCUGACGGAAUAGCGCGUUAAACCGCGUAGUUAUACGGGCCGCAGUCAAGCACACGGCGCGUGACGAAACGGGACAGUACGCCGAGGCCCCGGCCGAGGCGACAGCGGUGGUAACCAUGCUCCCAAGAAAACCCGCUAAGCAUAUCGCAAGCCGGCCCGUACCGCAAACCGACACAGGUGGUCGGGUAGAAGAUACCAAGGCGCUCGAGCGACUCAUGGUUAAGGAACUAGGCAAACUGACCCCGUAACUUCGGGAUAAGGGGUCCCACGCUCCGGCGUGGGCGCAGAGAAUAGGUCCAGGCAACUGUUUAACAAAAACACAGGGCCAUGCUAAAUUUAAAGAUGAAGAAUAUGGCCUGACACCUGCCCGGUGCCGGAAGGUUAAGAGGACGCGUCAUCGCGAGAGAAGCGCGGAAUUGAAGCCCCGGUAAACGGCGGCCGUAACUAUAACGGUCCUAAGGUAGCGAAAUUCCUUGUCGGGUAAGUUCCGACCUGCACGAAUGGUGUAAUGA
rnacentral:rRNA from 1 species